GCUGGUGCGGGGACCCGAGCCCCCAGGCCGCCGUGGUCUCCAGCUGCCGAGUCCGAGAUCACCGCUCGUGGAUACUGCGCGUCGGGACGGAGAUCUGGAAGGACGCUCCGGACACUGCGAAUGAAUGACGACAGCGCGACUCACUCGCUGCGAGCCCUGGUGACCGCGGGUGGCUUCGUGCGAGCCCGGUGGGGACCGUCUGCGGAGCGCUGAGCCCCACGCCCAUCCCAGCGGGGAGGACGCUGUCCGCCCGCGAGAGCCUGCGUGCAGCGUGUGUAUUCAAGGUUGACGAUCGACGGGACAGCGCCACCCCUGCCCCGGAAACGUGCGCUCCCAGGUUCCAGACCUGGCGCUAGAAACCCGAGUCCGAGGUGGACGCAGCCAAUGGGAGAAACUAAGAAACAUCUGGAGAGUUGAGUCCAAAUUCCCACAGCAGCAGAACAGAAGCAGAGGACCCCAAGGUCCCGUGUAAGAAAGGAGUGAGAUGACUUCUCUGGUGACCUGUCAUUGGGGAUCAUUCCUCUGUCAGAAGCAGGCCUUGGCUGGAUACAGGAGCAGAGACCCAUCCUGCUCCCUGGAACUUACACCUUUUCGGCUGGGUGUGCAACAGAAUCCAGAUGACGCCUCUGGUACAGGAGAGCGCACUGUUCUGCUGGAGGCCUUGACAGAGAGUGACUGCCUGUGAGAAUUGAUUCCGAGCUGGUAAAUGAGCUUGAGCUACGUCCCAGCGUUUAGUGUCCUUGGCUUUAAUCUCUUUAGUCUUCUUCUCAAAGUGCAGAUUUCAGAAACUUUUCGUCUGUUUCUGGGAGGAGCAAAUUAAAAUUUCUACCAUGUUGUGUUUUGUAAGUAAAAUGUAUACUGCAGCGAUUUUUAAGGAUGUGGACAUGUGGAAAGAUUUGCAGCAUGCUCCUGUAAUUACUGUGUUCUAUAUGUGUGUGUUUAAAUAUAAAUGUUAUUCAUCAGCUGAGAAUUUUAUACAUAAAUACAAUAUAUUUUGUCUAUAUCCACCUUGCAGGCUGGCCUCCAACUCCUCCCAGAUGGCUCCACUUUGCCCUCAAUUUCAUGCUCUCUCUUUUGAGCUCACUGAGUCUAAUUAGUGCCACUUAUAUGUGCAUGGUUUUAGACCACCCACUGGCACAUGGACAGCCGAGCAGGGGCCACAUCCCUGAAGAACCCCCUCUCUACCCCUGGAGCCACUGACUGCCUAAACCUCCUCAGUUGGGCUAAGGCAGUACAAUGUUUUAAUCGCUUAAAGUAGUUCCCAGGAAAAACUGGUCUGGAAGGAGAGGCUGAGGAAGCUUAUGAAUGCAUAGCACAAACUGGUGCCAUCAUAUGUAAACAGCACACUAGAUGAUGCCAUCAUAUGUAAACAGCACAUUAGAUGUUGAAUUUGAGCUGUGCAGUUUUUACAUACAAAGCCGCUCCUGUUUUGACCCAAAGUUCAAAUUCCCAACAAGACUUAAAAAUCCAAACUCUAGCUACAAAUGGGAAGUUGCUCCCCACAAAGGUGCCUUUUGACCUAAAAACUAGGCCUCUCUUUUUCCCAAAAGCCCAUUUUUGAGUCUAGAGAACAGACAAGUGUAACCUAGGCUGACUGUGGCAGCAGGCCGUGGACUCUGGAAACCUGGUCCUUCUGAAGAUCACGGGUUAGUUGGCUGGCAGACUGACAGGGAAGACCUGGGGAGACACCCAGCUCGAGGUUCCAGGUCAUGCCUGCACUCAGACUGACUCCUUAUGGCAGGGCAGGCAGCCUCUGCUUCAGGGGCAUGCGUCCCACUAAGCAGCGCUUUAUGAGAGCAUCCGCAGCUGAGUAAACAAAGCUGAGAACGGCCUUUCCUCUACCCAGCGUGUGCCUGGCCUACUGGUUUAGAGGAACUCAGCAAGUGCAUACGAGUGCUAUGUCUCAGAGGUCUUCCACGGGGAAGCUUCUGAUUGCGCAGCAUGAAUUAGUGCCUAUCAUACAGAAAUAGCACAUUAAAUGUCGAAUUUGAGCUGGGCAAAUUUGAAAAUCUUACACAAGUUGUGUAAGUUAGAUUUUCGCCUCUUGAUGAGGCCUAUUUGCAUGUGGUGAGACGUUUUCAGGGCCCACGAGAUUCUGAGAAUAUGGGAACUGGCACCCCGGCAUACUUGAUCGUAGAAUGAGACAGAAUGCUGACAAUUCUGACAGAUCUUCUAUAAUUAAGUCAGUUGCAUCUAGUUUUGUUCUAGAAUAUACCACAGAUUUGAAUAGUACAGAGGUCAUGCUAUCGCGAUCUUUGUGCUUAAAAAAACAAAGCAAUGGAAAGCGAAACAAAGAAAAUUAAACAAGAAGAUUCAUCAGCCAUGAACUCAACAAAGGUCAAGGGUUAGGGUGGCAAAUAUAAGGAAGUCUGAGCAGUCAGAGGCCAGGAGUAAUUGAAAUGGGAAGCCUGGCUUCUUUUAAUUUCUCAUUUUUAAUUUUUUUCUUCUUUUAUACAAUACAUCUUAACCAUAGCCUCCGCUCCCUCCAGCCUGACUUCUUUUGAGCAAGCUGGCACUUCACAAAAGCUGGUCCUGUAACAAGGCGAAGUCAAUGUCAUACCUUUUGGUGAAGCUUAGUAUGUACGGGCUAGUGGCCCACAUUCCCUGCAAAACAUGCUAGCAGCUUUUCUUUUAAUGAGGCUGUCUCUUUGAAACACGUUUUGUGAAUACGUGUGUGUGUGUGUGUGUGUGUGUGUGUGUGUGUGUGGUGGGGGUAUGUAUGUAUGUAUGCAUGCUCACGGGGUGGGUAGCACGCAUGCGUGUGCACACGCGUGGAAGCCAGGGGUCAGCACCAGUUGUCUUCCUCAGUUCUUCUCCGCCUUUUCCCUUUUUUAAAACACGGCCUCACACUGAACCUGGAGCUCUUUGUCUGGACUGGUGGCCCAGGAGCCCAAGGGGUCUUAACUCCUCAGCCUGGGCUGCAGGCAUGCGCCAUGUCCCCAGAUUUUACUUGGCUGCCAGGGAUCAGAACUUGGGUCUUCACGCUUGCGAGACAAACACUUUCCUCAGUCAGCCAUCUCCCCAACUCUCAAAAACUUCAGAAUUUUAUUAUGGACAAGCAAUUUUAACUGAUAAACUCAUUUUUGCCACUCUACCAAUAAAUUGUCCCCAAUAAGUAACUGUCAACUGGUGUUUUUCAUUGAGUUGACUGAUAGCUUAAAGCAUUUGGACAAACUGACUUCUUGUUUCUGUAUUUAAAUCAUCAGAGCUAAAUUAGCUCAUCAAAGGGGCCACACUGUAUGCUGACUUUCAGUGGCUUUCUAACUAUAAAAUCAGUUCUUAUCAGUUGCCUCGGUUGAUUUAACUAACAACUUUAUUUUGUAGUGGUGGGAUGUGAACUGCCCCACUGAAAAAGGUACUGAGCCACAUGGCUAACAUAGAUCAGAAAAAUGGGUUAAUCAAGA